rnacentral:rRNA from 1 species
UCCAGACUCCUACGGGAGGCAGCAGUGGGGGAUAUUGCACAAUGGGGGGAACCCUGAUGCAGCGACGCCGCGUGGGUGAAGGAGCGUUUCGGCGCGUAAAGCCCUAUCGGCAGGGAAGAAGGAGGACGGUACCUGACUAAGAAGCCCCGGCUAACUACGUGCCAGCAGCCGCGGUAAUACGUAGGGGGCAGGCGUUAUCCGGAUUUACUGGGUGUAAAGGGGGCGCAGACGGCAGCGCAAGCCAGGAGUGAAAGCCCGGGGCCCAACCCCGGGACUGCUCUUGGAACUGCGCGGCUGGAGUGCAGGAGGGGCAGGCGGAAUUCCUGGUGUAGCGGUGAAAUGCGUAGAUAUCAGGAGGAACACCGGUGGCGAAGGCGGCCUGCUGGACUGCGACUGACGUUGAGGCCCGAAAGCGUGGGGAGCAAACAGGAUUAGAUACCCGUGUACUA